rnacentral:rRNA from 1 species
GAUGAACGCUGGCGGCGUGCUUAACACAUGCAAGUCGAACGAAGCACUUUAUUUGAUUUCUUCGGAAUGAAGAUUUUGUGACUGAGUGGCGGACGGGUGAGUAACGCGUGGGUAACCUGCCUCAUACAGGGGGAUAACAGUUGGAAACGACUGCUAAUACCGCAUAAGCGCACAGGGUCGCAUGACCUGGUGUGAAAAACUCCGGUGGUAUGAGAUGGACCCGCGUCUGAUUAGCCAGUUGGUGGGGUAACGGCCUACCAAAGCGACGAUCAGUAGCCGACCUGAGAGGGUGACCGGCCACAUUGGGGACUGAGACACGGGCCCAAACUCCUACGGGGAGGCAGCAGUGGGGAAUAUUGCACAAUGGGGGGGAACCCUGAUGCAGCGACGCCGCGUGAGCGAAGAAGUAUUUCGGUANGGUAAAAACUCUAUCAGCAGGGGAAGAUAAUGACGGUACCUGACUAAGAAGCACCGGCUAAAUACGUGCCAGCAGCCG